AGGACAUGGUGUGGGCUCUUUAUAAGCAUCUUCUUGAAUCUCUCCCAACUCUCAUAAAUAUAUUCUCCUUCUAAUUGAGUAAAAUAAGUAAUAUCGUUUAUAAGUUU